rnacentral:rRNA from 1 species
AUGGUGUCCCUCCGCUUCCCCGCCGCCACCUUCGCCCACCUCCCCACCCCGCCGCCUCCCCACCGUGCCGCCAUCGCCGCCGCAAUUGCCGCCGCCGCGGCUGCGGCAGCCGCAGCCGGCUUCGCCCUGACCGCCAAAUCUGCCGGUCGGCCGCUCCCGCGCCCGUCACACUCUGCAUCCCUCUGGGCCUCCCUCUCCCUUGCCGACAGCGGCGCCCCCGGCAACGUCGAGCCCCGCACCGGCGCCGCAUUCCCCGCCGAGACCGCCGGCGGGCGCCGCCUCCUCGGCGUUGGCCUCCGCAAGACCACCAUCCUCGGCCUCAAGUCCAUCGACGUCUACGCGUUCGGCGUUUAUGCGGAUGACAGCGAUCUGAAGCAGCUGAGGGACAAGUACCAGAAGCUUCCCAUCUCUGAUCUGAAGGAAAAUGAUGAGCUGAUCAACGAUGCACUAGAGCGUGACAUUCGUAUGACGGUCAGGCUUCAGAUAGUUUAUGGGAGGCUGAGCAUUGGUUCAGUUCGGAGCGCUUUUGAGAAGAGUGUAGGAAGCAGGCUUCAGAAGUUUGGGGGGUCAGACACCAAAGAGUUGCUUCAGAGUUUUGUUUCACUUUUCAAGGAUGAGUACAAAUUACCAAAGGGAUCUGUAAUUGAGCUUUCGAGGGAAUCAAAUCACGUUCUUAAAAUAAGCAUUGAAGGAGAAGAUGUGGGAAGUAUCCAGAACAAGCUCUUGUGCCAGUCUAUCUUAGAUCUUUACAUUGGAGACGACCCGUUUGACAAGAAUGCGAAAAACAACAUCCAAGGAAGUUUGGCUAGCAUUCUUAAAGCUUAG